rnacentral:rRNA from 1 species
UACGGAGGGUGCAAGCGUUAUCCGGAUUCACUGGGUUUAAAGGGUGCGUAGGAGGGCAGGUAAGUCAGUGGUGAAAUCUCCGAGCUUAACUCGGAAACUGCCGUCGAUACUAUCUGUCUUGAAUAUUGUGGAGGUGAGCGGAAUAUGUCAUGUAGCGGUGAAAUGCUUAGAUAUGACAUAGAACACCAAUUGCGAAGGCAGCUCGCUACACAUAUAUUGACUCUGAGGCACGAAAGCGUGGGGAUCAAACAGG